AGAAAAGGUGGGUCCUCGGGGUUCCCUUAACAGAAAAGGACAGGUCCUGGGGUUUCCCUCACGGAGGACAGCAGGUCCCUAGGAGCCCCUGACAGAGAAGGGAUGUCAUCAUGGACACAGAUGGACAGCCAGAGGAGAAGAGUCACAAGGAAGUCGGGGAGUGGACUCAAAGAGGAGCCCAGCAAAGAUGGUGCUUCAGAAGUUACAGCUGCAGUCUGAUGCUGAGGAGGACUCUGCUAUAUAAAUUACACCUGGGAAUUUGUGGAUGUGGCACAAACACACUUCCAGCCUCUGCUCUUGAAGGUUGUUUCUCUGUCACCCAGGCUGGAGUACAGUGGUGUGAUCCUGGCUCACUGAAGCUUUGAACUCCUUGGUUCAGAUGGGGUCUCACUGUGUUGCUGAGGCUGGUCUCAAACUCCUGACAUCAAGCAAUCUUCCUGCCUUAUUCCCCCAAAGUGCUGGAAUUACUGCACCAGGCCUGAAGGUCAUGAAUUUCAAGUUUUCCAUGGCACCAAGUCUCUGAUCUUUCUUUAACUUUUUCUGAAUUUCAAGGCCUAUUGGUGAAGGCAUCCCAUGAUGGCAAUAAAUGUUCAUAGUUCUGG